rnacentral:lncRNA from 1 species
GUUAGACGAAAUGUUAAUUAAUGUAUGUAAUAACAAUGAUAAUUGUAAUGGUUUUAUGGUUUUGAUCCUGCCUGGAAUUAAAUGUAUAUGAUUUUAUAGAAUGAAGAUAAUAACAUCUGUCUGAACUUUUUAUUUUUAAUGUUUCAUUUUAGUUUAUAACAAUGUUUUUCUGUUACAAAUCAUGAUGUAUUGUGUUAUGUGUACAUGUUAUGCUGCCCAUCAAGGGCCCUUGAUUGGAAUGAUAAAAUAUUCUUAUUCUU